UUCGCCAUCUAACCAGGAAAAACCUCGCUACUGAUGCCAACUGACGCAGGACGGAAGCACGGUAAAGAAUUAAUUUCUACGAAUUAAUCCUAUAGAACACGAUAACUCUGGAAUCCACCAGAUAAUUGAGAGAAAACUCAGAAAUUUUUAUUAAUAAUGAAAGAUGCUGAAAAAUAAACCCUAGAGCAACUAUUUAUACUAAAAAAA
rnacentral:lncRNA from 1 species